UCUGUACAAAAGCCAUUCUGUCUGUCCCUGUCCCUCUGUUUGCCUUUGUCGUCUGCUGAUACCCCAUCAUCACACAGGCAUGUCAGACGCAGAAGAAGAAUACGAGGAUCAGACAGUGGAGGUUGAGGAGGAGC